rnacentral:rRNA from 1 species
AGAGUUUGAUCCUGGCUCAGGACAAACGCUGGCGGCAUGCCUAACACAUGCAAGUCGAACGCACUAACAGUAAUGGUAGUGAGUGGCGAACGGGUGAGUAAUGUAUGAACAAUCUGCCCCUGACAACGGGAUAACACUUAGAAAUAGGUGCUAAUACCGUAUAAGACCACACUGCCGCAUGGCAGAGCGGUAAAAACUCCGGUGGUUAGGGAUGAGUUCAUAUCCUAUUAGCUAGUUGGUGAGAUAACAGCCCACCAAGGCAACGAUGGGUAGCCGACUUGAGAGAGUGUACGGCCACAUUGGAACUGAAACACGGUCCAGACUCCUACGGGAGGCAGCAGUGGGGAAUAUUGGGCAAUGGAGGAAACUCUGACCCAGCAAUGCCGCGUGAGCGAUGAAGGUAUUUUUAUUGUAAAGCUCUUUUCUUGGGAACGAAAAUUAAUAUGACGGUACCCGAGGAAUAAGCCCCGGCUAACUACGUGCCAGCAGCCGCGGUAAUACGUAGGGGGCGAGCGUUGUCCGGAAUUACUGGGCGUAAAGGGUGCGUAGGCGGUUCAUUAAGUUAGAAGUGUAAUACCCAGGGCUUAACUCGGGUGCUGCUUCUAAAACUAAUGGGCUUGAGUGCAGGAGGGGAGAGUGGAAUUCCUAGUGUAGCGGUGGAAUGCGUAGAUAUUAGGAAGAACAUCAGUGGCGAAGGCGACUCUCUGGCCUGUAACUGACGCUGAGGCACGAAAGCGUGGGUAGCAAACAGGAUUAGAUACCCUGGUAGUCCACGCCGUAAACGAUGGAUACUAGAUGCAGGAGGUAUUGACUCCUUCUGUGUCGCAGUUAACGCAUUAAGUAUCCCGCCUGGGGAGUACGGCCGCAAGGCUAAAACUCAAAGGAAUUGACGG